rnacentral:pre_miRNA from 1 species
GUCAUAGGAAGGCAUCAUGGCAAAGGAAGACAUCAUGGCAAAUGAUGUCUUCCUAUGCCAUGAUGUCUUCCUGCCAUGAUGCCUUCCUAUGCC